UACGUAGGGUGCGAGCGUUAAUCGGAAUUACUGGGCGUAAAGCGUGCGCAGGUGGUGAUGUAAGGCAGAUGUGAAAUCCCCGGGCUCAACCUGGGAACUGCAUUUGUGACUGCAUCGCUGGAGUGCGGCAGAGGGGGAUGGAAUUCCGCGUGUAGCAGUGAAAUGCGUAGAUAUGCGGAGGAACACCGAUGGCGAAGGCAAUCCCCUGGGCCUGCACUGACGCUCAUGCACGAAAGCGUGGGGAGCAAACGGGAUUAGAUACCCUGGUAGUCCACGCCCUAGACGAUGUCAACUGGUUGUUGGGUCUUCACUGACUCAGUAACGAAGCUAACGCGUGAAGUUGACCGCCUGGGGAGUACGGCCGCAAGGUUGAAACUCAAGGGAAUUGACGGGGACCCGCACAAGCGGUGGAUGAUGUGGUUUAAUUCGAUGCAACGCGAAAAACCUUACCCACCUUUGACAUGUACGGAAUCCUUUAGAGAUAGAGGAGUGCUCGAAAGAGAGCCGUAACACAGGUGCUGCAUGGCUGUCGUCAGCUCGUGUCGUGAGAUGUUGGGUUAAGUCCCGCAACGAGCGCGACCCUUGCCAUUAGUUGCUACGAAAGGGCACUCUAAUGGGACUGCCGGUGACAAACCGGAGGAAGGUGGGGAUGACGUCAAGUCCUCAUGGCCCUUAUAGGUGGGGCUACACACGUCAUACAAUGGCUGGUACAGAGGGUUGCCAACCCGCGAGGGGGAGCCAAUCCCACAAAGCCAGUCGUAGUCCGGAUCGCAGUCUGCAACUCGACUGCGUGAAGUCGGAAUCGCUAGUAAUCGCGGAUCAGAAUGUCGCGGUGAAUACGUUCCCGGGUCU
rnacentral:rRNA from 1 species